rnacentral:rRNA from 1 species
GACGGAGGGUGCAAACGUUGCUCGGAAUCAUUGGGCGUAAAGCGCACGUAGGCGGCCGAUCAAGUCGGGUGUGAAAGCCCCGGGCUCAACCCGGGAAGUGCACUCGAAACUGACCGGCUUGAAUAUGGAAGAGGGUCGCGGAAUUCCCGGUGUAGAGGUGAAAUUCGUAGAUAUCGGGAGGAACACCAGUGGCGAAGGCGGCGACCUGGGCCAAUAUUGACGCUGAGGUGCGAAAGCGUGGGGAGCAAACAGG